rnacentral:rRNA from 1 species
UACAGAGGAGCCAAGCGUUGUCCGGAUUGACUGGGCGUAAAGCGCACGCAGGCGGACGCGCGCGUGGGGUGUGAAAUCUGGCCGCUUAACGGCCAGGCGCCAUCCCAUACGGCGCAUCUGGAGUGAUGCAGAGGUCGAUGGAAUUGCCGGUGUAGUGGUGAAAUGCGUAGAGAUCGGCAGGAACACCCAGGGGGAAACCAGUCGACUGGGCAUCUACUGACGCUGAGGUGCGAGAGCGUGGGGAGCGAACCGG